GAUGAACGCUGGCGGCGUGCCUAAUACAUGCAAGUCGAGCGAACAGACGAGGAGCUUGCUCCUCUGACGUUAGCGGCGGACGGGUGAGUAACACGUGGAUAACCUACCUAUAAGACUGGGAUAACUUCGGGAAACCGGAGCUAAUACCGGAUAAUAUAUUGAACCGCAUGGUUCAAUAGUGAAAGACGGUUUUGCUGUCACUUAUAGAUGGAUCCGCGCCGCAUUAGCUAGUUGGUAAGGUAACGGCUUACCAAGGCAACGAUGCGUAGCCGACCUGAGAGGGUGAUCGGCCACACCGGAACUGAGACACGGUCCAGACUCCUACGGGAGGCAGCAGUAGGGAAUCUUCCGCAAAGGGCGAAAGCCUGACGGGGCAACGCCGCGUGAGUGAUGAAGGUCUUCGGAUCGUAAAACUCUGUUAUUAGGGAAGAACAAAUGUGUAAGUAACUAUGCACGUCUUGAUGGUACCUAAUCAGAAAGCCACGGCUAACUACGUG
rnacentral:rRNA from 1 species